rnacentral:rRNA from 1 species
AAAACGACUCUCGGCAACGGAUAUCUCGGCUCUCGCAUCGAUGAAGAACGUAGCGAAAUGCGAUACUUGGUGUGAAUUGCAGAAUCCCGUGAACCAUCGAGUCUUUGAACGCAAGUUGCGCCCCAAGCCUUUAAGCCGAGGGCACGUCUGCCUGGGUGUCACGC